GCGCAGCAGUCGAGAAACCUUCGCAAUGCGGGAAACCGCGACGAGGGGACUCCCAGUGCCUACGCUCAGCGUAGGCUGUUCCCGAGCCUAGAAAGCUCGGGGAGUAAGGGCUGGGUAAGACGGGUGCCAGCCGCCGCGGUAAUACCCGCAGCCCGAGUGGUGGCCACUAUUAUUGGGCCUAAAGCGUCCGUAGCCGGCCCGGUAAAUGCCUGGGUAAAUCGUGAGGCCUAACCUCACGAAUUCCGGGUAGACUGCCGGGCUAGGGGACCGGAGGAGGGAGAGGGUACUCCAGGGGUAGGGGUGAAAUCCUGUAAUCCCUGGAGGACCACCGGUGGCGAAGGCGCUCUCCUAGGACGGGUCCGACGGUGAGGGACGAAAGCCAGGGGAGCGAACCGGAUUAGAACCCCUGUAGU
rnacentral:rRNA from 1 species